rnacentral:rRNA from 1 species
UACGUAGGGGGCUAGCGUUGUUCGGAUUCAUUGGGCGUAAAGGGUGCGUAGGCGGCGCGGUAAGUCGGGUGUGAAAUCUCGGGGCUUAACUCCGAAACUGCAUUCGAUACUGCCGUGCUUGAGGACUGGAGAGGAGACUGGAAUUUACGGUGUAGCGGUGAAAUGCGUAGAUAUCGUAAGGAAGACCAGUGGCGAAGGCGGGUCUCUGGACAGUUCCUGACGCUGAGGCACGAAGGCCAGGGGAGCGAACGGG